rnacentral:tRNA from 1 species
GAGAGAUGGCUGAGUGGUCGAAGGCGACGGUCUCGAAAAUCGUUGUACGCUUCUGUGUACCGAGGGUUCGAAUCCCUCUCUCUCC